rnacentral:rRNA from 1 species
AUGGAGCAGGGCACGACGACGGCGCCGACGCCGCUACCGGAAGUCGCCAAGGGGACAGGCCAGUGCUUCACCUUUGUUGCCACCGGAGGCUCCGCCUUCUACUUCCUCAAGGGCCUGCGCAACUCCCCCAAAGGCCGCCGCCUAGCCGGCGGCGCCCAGGCGGUCCUCACGAACGCGCCCCGAAUCGGCCGUUGGGGGGUCUGGCUCGGCGUCGAGGCAGCAAUUGAUAACGUCCUGGAGCGCGUGAACAAGAAGGACCACCGCUUCAACGCCAUGAUCUCCUUUGGCGCCGCCAGCGCCCUCGUCUCCAUGGCCAGGGGGCCACGCGCCGCCGCCCUCUCCGGGAUCAAGGGCGCGGUCUUCGGCGGGCUCGCUGAGAUCGUUAUGCGCAGGCUUAAAAGCUUGGUGGCCGACCUACCGGAACGGGAGAAGUGA